UACGUAGGGGGCUAGCGUUAUCCGGAAUUACUGGGCGUAAAGGGCGCGUAGGUGGUUUCUUAAGUCAGAGGUGAAAGGCUACGGCUCAACCGUAGUAAGCCUUUGAAACUGGGAAACUUGAGUGCAGGAGAGGAGAGUGGAAUUCCUAGUGUAGCGGUGAAAUGCGUAGAUAUUAGGAGGAACACCAGUCGCGAAGGCGGCUCUCUGGACUGUAACUGACACUGAGGCACGAAAGCGUGGGGAGCAAACAGG
rnacentral:rRNA from 1 species